UAACUUAUCUAUGAUUUUAACCUAUAAAAGUAUCAGGAAAAACAAAAACAAACUGCUUUAGCGCUUAGAUUAAGCAAAAAUAGCAAAAACGGCAAAAACUUAAUACAUCAUUAAUACACAAUCAAAAAAUGUUUGAUUUUGGAGAUACGGUGGCCCUUAUGCUGGGACUUUUGAUAAGUAUUGUUGGAAUAUUAGCCUGUCUGGGAGCAUAUUCUCGAAGUAGAGCAACUGUGGAACAUAUAUGAGAAGACAUCCCGACUGUGUUAUUUUAAGUAUGAAACUACUAAAAAUAAGUGUAAUAAUUAAGUAUUUUUCAAUAAAGCAGCUUAUGGUUAUCUAAAGUCAA